rnacentral:rRNA from 1 species
GAGGUCCGACCUGCCCAGUGAUAUUAAUUCAACGGCCGCGGUAUUCUGACCGUGCUAAGGUAGCACAAUCACUUGUCUCUUAAAUGGGGACUAGUAUGAAAGGCCCCACGAGGGUCUAACUGUCUCCUUUUUUUAAUCUGUGAAACUAAUCUCCCCGUGAAGAAGCGGGGAUUAUUGUAUAAGACGAGAAGACCCUAUGGAGCUUUAGAUGAAACAAUAUAUUCCCCCCCCCCCAUUUCAGAAAUCACUACCAGGGAAUUUUAUUGCUAGUCUUUGGUUGGGGCGGCCGCGGAGAAAAACUUAUCCUCCACGAUGAGUGGGAACUUCCCAUAAUGAAGAGCCACAGCUCAAUGUAUCAAAAAAUUGACAAUUGACCCAAUAUUUGAUCAACGAAACAAGUUACCCUAGGGAUAACAGCGCAAUCUACU